rnacentral:rRNA from 1 species
UUAAAUUGAAGAGUUUGAUCAUGGCUCAGAUUGAACGCUGGCGGCAGGCCUAACACAUGCAAGUCGAACGGUAACAGGAAGCAGCUUGCUGCUUCGCUGACGAGUGGCGGACGGGUGAGUAAUGUCUGGGAAGCUGCCUGAUGGAGGGGGAUAACUACUGGAAACGGUAGCUAAUACCGCAUAACGUCGCAAGACCAAAGAGGGGGACCUUCGGGCCUCUUGCCAUCGGAUGUGCCCAGAUGGGAUUAGCUAGUAGGUGGGGUAACGGCUCACCUAGGCGACGAUCCCUAGCUGGUCUGAGAGGAUGACCAGCCACACUGGAACUGAGACACGGUCCAGACUCCUACGGGAGGCAGCAGUGGGGAAUAUUGCACAAUGGGCGCAAGCCUGAUGCAGCCAUGCCGCGUGUAUGAAGAAGGCCUUCGGGUUGUAAAGUACUUUCAGCGGGGAGGAAGGGAGUAAAGUUAAUACCUUUGCUCAUUGACGUUACCCGCAGAAGAAGCACCGGCUAACUCCGUGCCAGCAGCCGCGGUAAUACGGAGGGUGCAAGCGUUAAUCGGAAUUACUGGGCGUAAAGCGCACGCAGGCGGUUUGUUAAGUCAGAUGUGAAAUCCCCGGGCUCAACCUGGGAACUGCAUCUGAUACUGGCAAGCUUGAGUCUCGUAGAGGGGGUAGAAUUCCAGGUGUAGCGGUGAAAUGCGUAGAGAUCUGGAGGAAUACCGGUGGCGAAGGCGGCCCCCUGGACGAAGACUGACGCUCAGGUGCGAAAGCGUGGGGAGCAAACAGGAUUAGAUACCCUGGUAGUCCACGCCGUAAACGAUGUCGACUUGGAGGUUGUGCCCUUGAGGCGUGGCUUCCGGAGCUAACGCGUUAAGUCGACCGCCUGGGGAGUACGGCCGCAAGGUUAAAACUCAAAUGAAUUGACGGGGGCCCGCACAAGCGGUGGAGCAUGUGGUUUAAUUCGAUGCAACGCGAAGAACCUUACCUGGUCUUGACAUCCACAGAACUUUCCAGAGAUGGAUUGGUGCCUUCGGGAACUGUGAGACAGGUGCUGCAUGGCUGUCGUCAGCUCGUGUUGUGAAAUGUUGGGUUAAGUCCCGCAACGAGCGCAACCCUUAUCCUUUGUUGCCAGCGGUCCGGCCGGGAACUCAAAGGAGACUGCCAGUGAUAAACUGGAGGAAGGUGGGGAUGACGUCAAGUCAUCAUGGCCCUUACGACCAGGGCUACACACGUGCUACAAUGGCGCAUACAAAGAGAAGCGACCUCGCGAGAGCAAGCGGACCUCAUAAAGUGCGUCGUAGUCCGGAUUGGAGUCUGCAACUCGACUCCAUGAAGUCGGAAUCGCUAGUAAUCGUGGAUCAGAAUGCCACGGUGAAUACGUUCCCGGGCCUUGUACACACCGCCCGUCACACCAUGGGAGUGGGUUGCAAAAGAAGUAGGUAGCUUAACCUUCGGGAGGGCGCUUACCACUUUGUGAUUCAUGACUGGGGUGAAGUCGUAACAAGGUAACCGUAGGGGAACCUGCGGUUGGAUCACCUCCUUACCUUAAAGAAGC